GAAGGGGGCUAGCGUUGUUCGGAAUUACUGGGCGUAAAGCGCACGUAGGCGGAUAUUUAAGUCAGGGGUGAAAUCCCGCAGCUCAACUGCGGAACUGCCUUUGAUACUGGGUAUCUUGAGUAUGGAAGAGGUAAGUGGAAUUCCGAGUGUAGAGGUGAAAUUCGUAGAUAUUCGGAGGAACACCAGUGGCGAAGGCGGCUUACUGGUCCAUUACUGACGCUGAGGUGCGAAAGCGUGGGGAGCAAACAGGGAUUAGAUACCCUGGUGGUCCACGCCGUAAACGAUGAAUGUUAGCCCGUCGGGCAGUAUACUGUUCGGUGGCGCAGCUAACGCAUUAAACAUUCCGCCUGGGGAGUACGGUCGCAAGAUAA
rnacentral:rRNA from 1 species